GCUACCUUCUCUUUUAAUAGAUCUCCAGUUCUUCUUCGUGGGAGGGUUGGAGCAGCAGGCGGGGCGGGUGCUCAAGGAGAGGGCCGGCCGCUGCAUCCGGUGCGGCUCCUACGUCGACUUGGUGGAGUACGAGAAGAUCCCUCCCUCCCAGUCCCUCCUCCGCUGCCGAUGAUGGCCGAGGGGGCUUCCUCGAUGAGGGCGCGCGGCGGCCGUCCGUCGACGACGCUCUCCGGUGCUACUCCUGCGAUCACGUCGUCGAGCCCCACUUCCGCUUCUGCCCCUUCUGCGGGGCCGCCCUCUGAGGGAGGCGUCUCUGGUUGUGGUUUUGCGUCUGAGGGUGGAGGAAAGGUGGAACUUUUGGCUAACUUUGCAAGAGUUAUGGCUUGUUAGGGUUAGGAUUCCUACUCCCUUUUCUUUUUGUUUGAUGUGGCUGCUCCAUAUGUCAACUGAAGUUGCAGUAUAUACAGAGGUCAACAGUGUUAAUAAAAAAAUCCUUUUUUUUUUCUUGUAAUACAAUUUAAGCUACAUUUUUUUGUAAAGAAAAUAAAAUUCCUCCAGUUUUCCUUUCCUUGACUUAA